AUUGAACGCUGGCGGCAGGCCUAACACAUGCAAGUCGAGCGGUAGAGAGGUGCUUGCACCUCUUGAGAGCGGCGGACGGGUGAGUAAUGCCUAGGAAUCUGCCUGGUAGUGGGGGAUAACGCUCGGAAACGGACGCUAAUACCGCAUACGUCCUACGGGAGAAAGCAGGGGACCUUCGGGCCUUGCGCUAUCAGAUGAGCCUAGGUCGGAUUAGCUAGUUGGUGGGGUAAUGGCUCACCAAGGCGACGAUCCGUAACUGGUCUGAGAGGAUGAUCAGUCACACUGGAACUGAGACACGGUCCAGACUCCUACGGGAGGCAGCAGUGGGGAAUAUUGGACAAUGGGCGAAAGCCUGAUCCAGCCAUGCCGCGUGUGUGAAGAAGGUCUUCGGAUUGUAAAGCACUUUAAGUUGGGAGGAAGGGCAUUAACCUAAUACGUUAGUGUUUUGACGUUACCGACAGAAUAAGCACCGGCU
rnacentral:rRNA from 1 species